AAUCGUGAUAGGAAUACAGUAGUGCCACUGUUUUGGGCGUCUGUCAUUAAAACUCAGCUGCUGCACUGAAUGUCUGGCUGUCACUUAAAAACUCAUUAGCCAAUGGGGACGCACCUCUGAAAAGACCCGCCCAUGCAAGAGGUGUGUCAGGCAGUGCAAUCAAGGGAGCUGGGAUCAUGACCGCAAGGGUGAAAGAGUCUGAUCAGUGCAGAAAGAAGAAAAGGGAACUGUAAACAAAGUUGUACGUUUUACUUUUUGCCUUAGUGAGUGAUUUUUGUUUGAUACUUAAGAAGUGUUGUUUGAACAUAUUGGCACAAAUCUAAUUCCACAAUUCGGUGGCUGUCAAAUCACAUCUGCCAGGAGAGGUGAUUAACGUUACAGUAAAGUAAAAUGUAGGCUACUAUUAACACAGGUGAAGAAACACACUGGGAGAAGAGGAAAAUACAACCAGGAAAGAGCAGUCAAAGGAAACCAUCAGUAAUUUGGACAUGAUGGCUGUAACUUCUCGACCAGAACUGUUUGAUUUUCACGGAGUCUGCAUGACUCACUUUUACACAGACAACUGGGAGAACAUGCAAAACUUUCAGGCCAGGCCAGAUGAUAUACUUAUUGCAACAUACCUCAAAGCAGGAACCUACAUCCUUGAACUGCUGUAUUUUGGUCAGACAGAGCGUCAGACAUCCAUCCCUAUUUAUAACAGGGUGCCUAUGUUGGAGGCCGCCUUCCCUUCUCUGCAGCCAGGUUGAAUUAACUAUGGUAUAUACUCACCAUAUUACAUAUGUCACAAAUAUGCAAACACUUUUAUGACGUGGUGGUAAUUCUCAGUCUUUUACUUAAAUCAGUAAACUAAAUUGUUCACAUGGAUUCACAUGUCAUUCUGUUAUAUUGUAUAUUAUACAGUAUGUAAAGGCUGUGUGCCAGGGAGUGUGCAAUAAAUUGAAGGAGCUGUACCCAAAAUACUGAGAAGAAAAACAAACAGCGGGCAAGGAUGCCUCCACACAGCUCUCACAGAUCGUUUCCCAAUACUUGAAAUACAUACGUUUUUUUUUUUUAUGGCCACAUGCACUGACAUGCACAUGAGGCCAGAACGGCAUAAUAACAGAGAAACUCAGAUUAAAACACACACAAAGGGAGUGUUACUUUAUUCUCUGCUCAGGACGCCAUUAACUCCACCAUAUCUUUUCAUGGCAAAUAUUUGUUUAUUGCUAUAUUAAUGUUCUGAAUAUGUACAGCCUCUUUAAUAACAAUUGGUGCAUUUAUCAUCAUCAUGGUAUCUGAACGUUUAACAAUAUCAUAUUUUUAGUUAUUUCAAGAUACAAUGAGUAACAUAAUUCAAUAUUUUUCAAAGGCUAUCUAAACAUAAUAAAUGUAUAGCUGUUUGGGUCCCAAAAACACUCCAUCCGCUACGGACAGGCAUGUUUUGAACGGGCACUGUUUUAGCUAUGUGAAAUAGCCUACAUAAAAAUGAAUACACUAAUAAUAAACCGCAAUAAUAAACAGCAAUAAUAAUAAUACUAGUAUAAUAGUUAUAAAUUUCUCAUUUUUAUUUGAAUCCAUACAUGAAAUGCAGCAAGGAAUACAAGAACAAAAGUUCAAUGAGCAAAGUAAACUAAUGAAUCUAACACUGUACUUCUGCACUGUGGCUACAGACUAGAGGCGGCACAUUGAUUGAUUGAUUUUCUAUGGCACGUACUGCGUUUAUGGAGGGGACAACACUAUGGGUGCUGGAGGUACCACCCUGGUCAUGAAAUAAAAGAGGAAACAGCAAGUACUGAUACAGUGAAAUCUUACGGGUUCAUUGGAAUGUCGACAACAACACAAGGCCAUUGUACUGUAAAUACUAACCAAGUCAAGCAUCUCAAAUCACUGGGAGAUACUGGAAGUCACCCUGAGGUAACCGAAAACAAGUCAUGGUAUGGCUCUCAUCAGGAACAACAAUAACAUGUCAGUAAUCAUUUUGUUAGAACAAGGCUCAGUUUUUAAAAAACAGAAUACUUGUAAUAUCAUGUUGGAACAAAACUUUUCAAAUGUAAGGAGGAAACCACUGGACCAGGAUCACCAAACAGAUUCAAGUUAAUUAAUAGACUAAAUAUGGUUACAUGUGAAGUGUUUUGUGUUUCUUUCCGAUACCUUUGUCGUCAUUUAAUGACAGAAUAAAAAAAUGUAAAUCCCGCA